AUGGCGACUCCCGGUCCUAACGGCAGCUCGGCGAUCUCCGGCGGCGUGGUGGGAUCCACGUCGCACCACUUCCACCAGCAGACGCAGAGCAGCAGCAUGCAAGAAACCAACACCUGCUGGAGAUGUCAAAAUGAAACAGGUAUUCCUUCCUAUUAUACGAUCAUCUUUUUUUUAAAGGACUGUGUUCAGAUCACGUUUUGGUCCAUAAAUUCAUGUUUUCUUUUACAACCCUAUCUUUUCCACCUAUUGCUCAUUUUCUUUAAAAUCAAAACUAUCUUAUUAUUUUUGUGAAAAUCUCCAUCUCCUCCUGUCUUUUGCAUGCUUUUCCCUUCCUGUUGUACGCUGCAGACACAGCAGGCAAACCUGCGUCUGCGCAGACCUUUCUGCUGUGUUGGAAACACGCAGCAGCUGGAAAUAUGGGAAAUAUCCAAAUCACGGUCCAUGCAGAGGUUGAUGGGUAGGGCCCUGAGGAUUGUUGAUCGAUGUGGUUUAUUGGGUCAACAAGCAGGUCAAACACCAAGCUGGAACAUCAUUGUGUUUUUUAGGUUUACUCCACUUUGCCCUGGAUUGUAAAAGCGAGCUGCUAAUCACAUUGGACAAAAUGGAAUCAGCAGUUUCUUUGCUUUAUUAUAAAUUUAAAUCAACUUAAGGCUUUUUCACAGUUGCUCUUACGGGUCUGCUGGUGAAAAAUGGGCAAACCUGUAUAGUUCCGCAGGUGGCCCACACGAAAUGUCAACUUCGUAGAUUGCUUGGUGAGCCUGUAGAGCAAAAAUCCUGUGAGCAGCAGGUUGUAGCGAACACUUAAACAACAAUCCUGUGCACUGCUCCAAGAGGCUGUUAGUGCUAUUGUAAGUGCGCAGCCUUGCACGCUCCUUGCAUGCAGCCUGUUAGGAAAUUGGACAAUAAAGAGUGUAGUCUGUGUGGGCAUCUUACAGUGUCUUACGAGCACUUGCAUAUCACGUGCAGGAUUAACCCUUGUGCUAUCUUGUGGGGUCCAGAUGCCUUCAAGGCACGUUAACGUUGGGAGUGGGGUCAUCUGGACCCCACAAGAGUGUGCACUGAACCUUUUUUUUUAAAAUGAUUCUUGAUCUUCACUGGUGUCCAUGGAUUACAUGAAAUCAUCUCCAACUUUAUCCACCUUUGUCUUGGUAAGGAUAACACGUCAAUGUAAGGGUGGGGUCAUCUGGACCCCACAAGAUAGCACCAGGUUUAUGGAGCCAGAACAUGCAUCGUACUGACAACUAGAGUGUGGCAUAAGGGCGCCGAAUGACAGCAUCACCAGCUUACAUCAUCUUUACAAAUACUUCAGGAUACA
rnacentral:lncRNA from 1 species